rnacentral:lncRNA from 13 species
AUGAGCACAAGUUCAUGUGUUGUCUUGUUCAGAAUGAGGUUCUUAUUCUCCAACAACCCCUUAACCCCACUUGGCCUUCUCAGUACUGAAGCGGCAACAACAAAAAGCUCAAAUCAGGUCAAGUUACCUCCGAUUGUACUCCAGAAAACGAUCAGAAUGACAUUUCCAAGCUACCACAGAAGAGGUCCAGAAAACGAUCAGAAUGACAUUUCCAAGCUACCACAGAAGAGGUCCUUAAGACGAUCAGAAUGACAUUUCCAAGCUAACACAGAAGAGGUCCUUAAGACGAUCAGAAUGACAUUUCCAAGCUAUCACAGAAGAGGUCCAGAAAACGAUCAGAAUGACAUUUCCAAGCUAACACAGAAGAGGCAGACAUUUAGAACUCAGUUUCAAUGAAAGCAAGAUGUCUCAAAAGUUUAAAAGAAGACUAUAGUAGCUCCGAUAUGUACAAGUGAGUCAACACUUUUCUUUAUUUGAUUAACCUUAAGUUUGACAUCAACAUAGAGAUCCAAGUCUCUUUCACAAGGGAGUCCUGGAUACAAAGAAAGCUCUAUAUACAAUAUACAGAAAUAUACAUACAAUGGUCUAUUAAUGUCUUAAAGGGACUGUAGGGCAGGGGACGACAUGUACCUACUUGAAGUCUAUCUUGGAGUUCAUUCCAUAUCGGGGGGGGGAUAACAACACAUUAAGGUUACACUGAGGACAACAACACAACAUCCUAUGGUUACAGACAACAACACAACAUACUAAGGUUACAGACAACAACACAACAUCCUAAGGUUACCCCGAGGACAACAACACAACAUCCUAAGGUUACAGACAACAACACAACAUCCUAUGGUUACCCUGAGGACAACAACACAACAUCCUAAGGUUACAGACAACAACACAACAUCCUAUGGUUACAGACAACAACACAACAUCCUAAGGUUACAGACAACAACACAACAUCCUAAGGUUACCCUGAGGACAACAACACAACAUCCUAANNNNNNNNNNACACACACACACCCAGACACACACACACACACACACAGAGAAGUCUUACUUUGGUAGAAUCUAUGGACUUUAGCAGAACUUUUCUGGGAGCAGUUCAUCAAUCAAUUGAUCAAUUGUCUCAUUUAUCAGUGAUCUAUCACACUGCUGAUUGACUUUUAAGGAAAGACUGGAAAGACAUCCAGUUUAAUUCAGUGCGACUUGCGGGUUCAAGGCACAAAAAAGGCC